CAGUUUGAUCAUGGCUCAGGACGAACGCUGGCGGCGUGCUUAACACAUGCAAGUCGAGCGGUAAGGCCCUUUCGGGGGUACACGAGCGGCGAACGGGUGAGUAACACGUGGGUGACCUGCCCUUAGCUCUGGGAUAAGCCUGGGAAACUGGGUCUAAUACCGGAUAUGACCUCAUGACGCAUGUUGUGGGGUGGAAAGCCUUGUGCGGCUAGGGAUGGGCCCGCGGCCUAUCAGCUUGUUGGUGGGGUGAUGGCCUACCAAGGCGACGACGGGUAGCCGGCCUGAGAGGGCGACCGGCCACACUGGGACUGAGACACGGCCCAGACUCCUACGGGAGGCAGCAGUGGGGAAUCUUGCGCAAUGGGCGAAAGCCUGACGCAGCGACGCCGCGUGAGGGAUGACGGCCUUCGGGUUGUAAACCUCUUUCAGCCCUGACGAAGCGAAAGUGACGGUAGGGGCAGAAGAAGCACCGGCCAACUACGUGCCAGCAGCCGCGGUAG
rnacentral:rRNA from 1 species